GGUUCUAUGGUGUAAUGGUUAGCAUGCUGGACACUGAAUCCAGCAAUCUGAGUUCAAAUCUCGGUAGGACAU
rnacentral:tRNA from 1 species